GUCAGUCUCUUGGUGCUAAUUUGCAGUGCGUUAGGAACAACACUGCCCCAGGUUCUUGGGUGUAAUAAUAAUCCGGAGAUCUCCUUGACCCUAAUUACAAAUUGCUCCAAAUUGAACUGCAUUGGAGAUCUGGCGUGGGGGUGAAGGAAAGGAAUAAUAGGCCACGAAUCAUGCACUUGGCCUGAUUCCCUCUUCUGUGCCAGAAAGAAAAUCUAGAAGAUAAACGUCCAUCUUCUACCAAGACAAAAGUCCUUCCAGUUAUGCUCUUCUCUCUCCAAGCCUGCAUCCCACUUCCUCUUCCUCCCGCCCUACCAUGAACUCUGGAAGAUGGGAAGAAUGAUAGCAGUAGGAGUAGCAGCAACCAGGACCCCACACAUUGGGGAACUUUCUGGGCUGAUGACUCAGAUGGCCCUGCAGAGCAUUUGCUCAACUUCUCAAAAUAGGCCACAUGGAAUCUUUUUUUUUGUCUUUUUUUUUUGUCUUUUGAGCAUUUAGAAUCUUUGACUGGGUCAUUGAUAGAGAGCACGUGGACACUGAGUGGCUUCCCUUCACCCCACAGCUUAAUUUAGUUCCAGAAUUUAGCCAACAGACAUCACCUUCUCCCAUCCUUUUUCACAAUUAACCCCUCAGAAGGCUUCCCAGCGAAGGAUGUGUGUUCUCUGCCCAGGCUCUCUUCGGAAGGAGAGGAGCUCAGAGCAUCCUGAAGGUUCUCUGCAGCCCCACAUGAGCCACAAAAAUAUCACAGAAGAACACCUGCUUGCAAAAACAAAGACCCAGAUGGCAGCGAUGAAGGUGCUGUCUGCUAAUAUCAGUGGACUCUGAUAGAGACUCCUCAGCACCGUUAGAGAGAAACAGAUACCCACACCAACACGGGAUGGGGUAAGAUGCCCUCUGACUGCAAGUCGGAACUUAUUUUUUCACCAGCUUGGGAAGUAGUUUCCCUCUGCACAGGGAACUGGAUUCAGGGAGAGAACAGCCCAGAUUUUCCAUUACACUAGCUUUUCUGCUGUUGUGAACGCCUAUUGCCCUGUCUUAAGGGUGGCACUCCACUCCCAACUCUUCCACAGGUUUGGAUCUUCUAUGUUGGUGCAAUGGGAUCCACCCUGGCCACAGAUAACUGAUCAAAGAUGGGGCACCUUAUCCAGAAAGCCAAUCAGAGCCUUUUCCUGGUAUGUUGAAUCUGGAACUGAGAUAAGACAGUUUCUCAUGGGGUAGCUGAAACGGAGGAUACGUAAACUCAGAAGUUAUUGGCGAACAGAGAAGCAGGCAGAUCAAGACAGCAGUAAGAGGGGAUGAUGAAGCUGAUGCACAGAAAGAAGACAUGAGAAUUGCAGGAGAAAGUCCCGCUGGCGAUUUGAGCCCUAGGCUCUACACGUUCUAUAGGCCCAGGUAUCAUUCACAGGACAUCCCAGUAUCCUUAUAAUAAAUUCCCCACUUUGUUUAAACACAUCAGAAGUUUCAAUAACGUGCAACCAAGGACUUCUGAAUCUUCUACCAGGUAAAGGAGAGACUAGUUUUGCAGCUGUUCCAAUAAUGAAAGCCUCAACUACAAAACAUUUUCAAGAAUGUUUCAGGAAACUGCUCAAGAGGCAGGGAGGUCCAGAGUGAUCCCGGAGUGAAUUCUAUUCCAUCUCUCAUCAUGCCCUCCUUAGCUGUAUGUCAGGGACUGCUCCAGAUGCUGGAACUCCUUCUCCCUGGAUAUUUUAAUCCAAAUGAGAUCAGGUGAAGAUAUACAUUAAGGAAAGUUGAAAAGUGGUAAAUUUAAACAAACAAAUCAGCCUAAAGUACAGGAAAACACAGGAAGGAUGAUUCCGCCACUCUUGACCUAGAGGUUGGGGAAUGGGGCACAGACAGGUGUAUUCACGCUGCUCUCCUGGUCUGAUGCUUCCAGGUCAUGAACCAUUGGCUACUGCUAUUGUUAAAUCAGAAAGCGCUCCAUCAGAGCCCAUCAGCCAAAGCCCACUUUUCUUAAUCUGCUCUGGGUCCUUAAGUCCGUGUUUAUAGUUGUCUAUGCCAGAUCCAAGCUGUGUCUUCAACCUACACCACAGCUCACAGCAACGCCAGUUUCUAACCCACUGAGCAAGGCCAGGGAUCGAAACUGUGACCUCAGGGACACUAAUCAGACUUGUUUCCGCUGAGCCAUGAUGGGAACCCCGGCUUUGUCUAUUUUCUUUAUCAUAGGUAGUCAAAGAGGAAAUACCUGAUUUCUUAAAUUCCCUCGGUAUAAAACCCUGUAUAGAAUUAAACCCAGUAGAUAUUUAAUAGGGUUGCAUUAACAUUUAUUUAGUUCAUUUAACCUCAAUAGGUAUAGAACUUUCUGUCUAGAUCUCACCUUUUAGAAUCAAAAUAUUAUCAGAAAAUCUUCUUUUUUUUGUCUUUUUGCUAUUUCUUUGGGCCGCUCCCGCGGCAUAUGGAGGUUCCCAGGCUAGGGGUCGAAUCGGAGCUGUAACCACCGGCCUACGCACAUAGCAAUGCGGGAUCCGAGCCGCGUCUGCAACCUACACCACAGCUCACGGCAACGCCAGAUCGUUAACCCACUGAGCAAGGGCAGGGACCGAACCCGCAACCUCGUGGUUCCUAGUCGGAUUCAUUAACCACUGCGCCACAACGGGAACUCCCAGAAAAUCUUCUCCUUUAAUUAAGUUUAUACCCAAAGUUACCGUAGGUUAAAAGCAUGCUUCUAAGUGCCCCUCAGAAGACAACUAUUUAGCCGAGGGUUUUUCCAUUUGCUUGCUCAGAAUUGGUUGACUUUCAUUUGUGAUGGAAUUGAGUUUAACCAGCAGAAGUGCCACGCAGUAAUCCCCGGCAGUGUAAUGGACACAUCCCUUCGGGGGUUCAGUAAAACCAAUGUCGAAGACAAGUAUAACCCGCUCCUCAGUGAUAAAGUCCAGCCACUGUAAUUCAAGUGAAACAGGGCCCACUGGUGUGAGGCGCUCACAUGAGCUCAGGCCUAGAGCAGAGGGGCAGGUGGUAUAGCCAGAGCCAAAGGACUGGUAACAGACAAGAAUAAAAUCCAAGUGCACAUAUGUUAGUGUGAGGGUGGGCAGAACCAGGGCCACUUCCGCUCUGAACCAAGGCAGCUGCUUGGCUCUUGUGGACCUUGUGGGAGCUCUUACCAACAGCCCUCAGGAGCACAGAAACCACAUGACCCCCAAACAAAAAGGAACAGCCAAAUAAAUAAAAACAACCCACUCAUAUGCAUACUUCAACUUCCUUCCUUUUUUUUUUUCCAUCAGAGGUGAAAGAGCAACUAGGAAGGUCCCCUUGAAGGAUGAUGCUAAUUUUCUCUGGUUACCCAUCAGUCCUUAUUCAUCUAUGAAGGAGAGGAGAAACAGCUGCCUUUUUAAGCAUCCUCCAAACCCACACCGAUGCAGGUUUAAGCAACAGAUUUCCUCCCCAGUGAAGGUGGGGCAAGGGCAGUUGGAAAAAAUUAGCCUAAGGAUUAGGCUAGGUUCUUCCUAAAGUCUCAUGCUUUAUUUUUAUUAAAGCAAAUUAUUAUUUGAAGAACACAUUCCACAUUUUAGAUCAGAAUCCUUCAAAACAAUGUUAAAACCAAAAAGAGAAAAAAAAAAAAAAAAACCAAGAUACUGAAAAAGCACACACUUUGCAAGAAACUAAAUUAUUCCGCUCAGGUUGGAAAAACAAGAUGGCUACUUGCUUAUUUUAAAACUAUCAAAAGACAAGAUUGGCCAAAAACAGAGAGAAAAAACCUCCCGGUAAAGGUCUUGGUUUCCACUGCCUAUAUUUGUAUAAAAG
ensembl:lncRNA